GAACUUUCCAGAGAUGGAUUGGUGCCUUCGGGAACUGUGAGACAGGUGCUGCAUGGCUGUCGUCAGCUCGUGUUGUGAAAUGUUGGGUUAAGUCCCGCAACGAGCGCAACCCUUAUCCUUUGUUGCCAGCGGUUAGGCCGGGAACUCAAAGGAGACUGCCAGUGAUAAACUGGAGGAAGGUGGGGAUGACGUCAAGUCAUCAUGGCCCUUACGACCAGGGCUACACACGUGCUACAAUGGCGCAUACAAAGAGAAGCGACCUCGCGAGAGCAAGCGGACCUCAUAAAGUGCGUCGUAGUCCGGAUUGGAGUCUGCAACUCGACUCCAUGAAGUCGGAAUCGCUAGUAAUCGUGGAUCAGAAUGCCACGGUGAAUACGUUCCCGGGCCUUGUACACACCGCCCGUCACACCAUGGGAGUGGGUUGCAAAAGAAGUAGGUAGCUUAACCUUCGGGAGGGCGCUUACCACUUUGUGAUUCAUGACUGGGGUGAAGUCGUAACAAGGUAACCGUAGGGGAACCUGCGGUUGGAUCACCUCCUUACCUUAAAGAA
rnacentral:rRNA from 2 species